UACGGGGGGGGCAAGCGUUGUUCGGAAUUACUGGGCGUAAAGGGCUCGUAGGCGGCCAACUAAGUCAGACGUGAAAUCCCUCGGCUUAACCGGGGAACUGCGUCUGAUACUGGAUGGCUUGAGUGUGGGAGAGGGAUGCGGAAUUCCAGGUGUAGCGGUGAAAUGCGUAGAUAUCUGGAGGAACACCGGUGGCGAAGGCGGCAUCCUGGACCAACACUGACACUGAGGAGCGAAAGCCAGGGGAGCAAACGGG
rnacentral:rRNA from 1 species